rnacentral:rRNA from 1 species
GAUGAACGCUAGCGGCAGGCCUAAUACAUGCAAGACGAACGGUAAGCUGAGUAGCAAUACUUAGCCAAGAGUGUCGUACGGGUGCGUAACACGUAUGCAACCUACCCUAUACAGGAGGAUAGCCUAGGGAAACCUGGAUUAACCCUUCAUAGUAUUAUUGGAUGGCAUCAUUUGAUAAUUAAAACUGAGGUGGUAUAGGAUGGGCAUGCGUCUGAUUAGUUAGUUGGCGGGGUAAUGGCCCACCAAGACGAUGAUCAGUAGGGGUUCUGAGAGGAAGAUCCCCCACACUGGCACUGAGAUACGGGCCAGACUCCUACGGGAGGCAGCAGUAGGGAAUAUUGGUCAAUGGAUGCAAGUCUGAACCAGCCAUGCCGCGUGCAGGAAGAAGGCCUUCUGGGUUGUAAAACUGCUUUUGCCAGGGGAUAAAAUUUCCAUGCGUGGAAAACUGAAGGUACCUGGUGAAUAAGCCACGGCUAACUACGUGCCAGCAGCCGCGGUAA